rnacentral:rRNA from 1 species
UAGGGAAUCUUCGGCAAUGGGGGGAACCCUGACCGAGCAACGCCGCGUGAGUGAUGAAGGUCUUCGGAUCGUAAAACUCUGUUAUCAGGGAAGAACAAAUGUGUAAGUAACUGUGCACAUCUUGACGGUACCUGAUCAGAAAGCCACGGCUAACUACGUGCCAGCAGCCGCGGUAAUACGUAGGUGGCAAGCGUUAUCCGGAAUUAUUGGGCGUAAAGCGCGCGUAGGCGGUUUUUUAAGUCUGAUGUGAAAGCCCACGGCUCAACCGUGGAGGGUCAUUGGAAACUGGAAAACUUGAGUGCAGAAGAGGAAAGUGGAAUUCCAUGUGUAGCGGUGAAAUGCGCAGAGAUAUGGAGGAACACCAGUGGCGAAGGCGACUUUCUGGUCUGUAACUGACGCUGAUGUGCGAAAGCGUGGGGAUCAAACAGG